AUUCAGCUGAUGAGUCCCGAAUAGGACGAAACGUGCGUCCUGGAU
rnacentral:hammerhead_ribozyme from 1 species